UGCAGUCGAGCGGUAGGCCCUUCGGGGUACACGAGCGGCGAACGGGUGAGUAACACGUGAGCAACCUGCCCCUGACUCUGGGAUAAGCGGUGGAAACGCCGUCUAAUACCGGAUACGACCCUCCGUCUCAUGAUGGUGGGUGGAAAGUUUUUCGGUCAGGGAUGGGCUCGCGGCCUAUCAGCUUGUUGGUGGGGUAACGGCCUACCAAGGCGAUUACGGGUAGCCGGCCUGAGAGGGCGACCGGCCACACUGGGACUGAGACACGGCCCAGACUCCUGCGGGAGGCAGCAGUGGGGAAUAUUGCGCAAUGGGCGAAAGCCUGACGCAGCGACGCCGCGUGGGGGAUGACGGCCUUCGGGUUGUAAACCUCUUUUACCACCAACGCAGGCCCGGGGUUCUCUCCGGGUUGACGGUAGGUGGGGAAUAAGGACCGGCUAACUACGUGCCAGCAGCCGCGGUAAUACGUAGGGUCCGAGCGUUGUCCGGAAUUAUUGGGCGUAAAGAGCUCGUAGGCGGCGUGUCGCGUCUGCUGUGAAAGACCGGGGCUUAACUCCGGUUCUGCAGUGGAUACGGGCAUGCUAGAGGUAGGUAGGGGAGACUGGAAUUCCUGGUGUAGCGGUGAAAUGCGCAGAUAUCAGGAGGAACACCGGUGGCGAAGGCGGGUCUCUGGGCCUUACCUGACGCUGAGGAGCGAAAGCAUGGGGAGCGAACAGGAUUAGAUACCCUGGUAGUCCAUGCCGUAAACGUUGGGCGCUAGGUGUGGGGACUUUCCACGGUUUCCGCGCCGUAGCUAACGCAUUAAGCGCCCCGCCUGGGGAGUACGGCCGCAAGGCUAAAACUCAAAGGAAUUGACGGGGGCCCGCACAAGCGGCGGAGCAUGUUGCUUAAUUCGACGCAACGCGAAGAACCUUACCAAGGUUUGACAUCACCCGUGGACCUGCAGAGAUGUGGGGUCAUUUAGUUGGCGGGUGACAGGUGGUGCAUGGGCUGUCGUCAGCUCGUGUCGUGAGAUGUUGGUUUAAGUCCCGCAACGGAGCGGCACCCUUUGUUCCAUGUUGCCAGCACGUAGUUGUGGGGACUCAUGGGAGACUGGCGGGGAUCCACUCGAAGAAGUGCGAUGA
rnacentral:rRNA from 1 species